ACAAAGGCGAGCCAGAGCAGGAGGAAAUUCCAUGUGAACUGUGGAGCUCGGCUGCCUCCAACCUCAUGCGACGAAGCCAUUACGUAGGACAGAGGGACCUGCAAAAAAUGGAGGUGUCCAACACUUGUGGAGCCUGAUUGCAAUGAGUGACUGUCAACAGCAUCUUCGAGAGACGGUUUCUAACAAGCACCCUGGAGAGAAUCCUCCAAAGCCAAAAGUCAUCCAAAGGCCAAAUAAGAUUGCAUGCCAAGAGCGAUAUCUGAAAGUAGGAAAUAGAACCUUUGGUGUUCCGCUCAAAAUGAAGGAAAGAUGAGAAGGAAACAUACAGACAGAGUGAACCCAUUUCGAUUUUAAUUCAGUUCCAAGAAACUGCCCCGCCUGAGAAGAUAAGGACCACUGGGGUCCGUCCUGGCUUUGAGCUCCCAGUGAAGUGUGUGUCAUUCCAUUUUGGGAGCUGUUUCUCAGAUGUCCCCGGCUGCAGGGUGGACCUCGGGACACAUCCUCAGUGGAUCCUGCCAUCUUGGAUCUGCACUGCCAGGAUCUCGCUAAGCCCAGACUCUCAUUCUGGACUUCCUUGGAAUGGACUUCCCAGUGUACCGACUGGUUCUGGAAGCAAGGACUGCUGGCCCCAGGAAGCCAGCUCCUCUGUCUGCUGACUGCAGCCUGCUUCUCUCUCUAGCACAUUCUGGUGCAGAGAUGGUGACAGGGUUUGGGAACCAGAUAUAUCUAGAUUAAAAUUCUUGCUCUGCACAAGUGACUCGGCUUCUCAGAAACUUGAUUCUCUCUGCUAGAACUUGGACCCCAUACAAGUACCUGUCUCCAGGGGUG